rnacentral:rRNA from 1 species
AGUGAACGCUGGCGGCGUGCUUAACACAUGCAAGUCGAACGAGAACGGGUUAUAGCUUGCUACAAUUGUCAGCUAAGUGGCGCACGGGUGAGUAAUGUAUAGGUAAUAUGCCUCUUACUAAGGGAUAACAAAUGGAAACGUUUGCUAAUACCUUAUACUCCUUAUUAACAUAAGUUAAUAAGGGAAAGAUUUAUUGGUAAGAGAUUAGCCUGUAUUGUAUCAGUUAGUUGGUGGGGUAAUGGCUUACCAAGACUAUGACACAUAACUGGUUUGAGAGGAUGAUCAGUCACACUGGAACUGAGACACGGUCCAGACUCCUACGGGAGGCAGCAGUGGGGAAUAUUGCACAAUGGACGAGAGUCUGAUGCAGCAACGCCGCGUGGAGGAUGACACAUUUCGGUGCGUAAACUCCUUUUAUAUGAGAAGAUAAUGACGGUAUUAUAUGAAUAAGCACCGGCUAACUCCGUGCCAGCCGCCGCGGUAAUAC